AGUGAACGCUGGCGGUAGGCCUAACACAUGCAAGUCGAACGGCAGCACAGUAAGAGCUUGCUCUUACGGGUGGCGAGUGGCGGACGGGUGAGGAAUACAUCGGAAUCUACUUUUUCGUGGGGGAUAACGUAGGGAAACUUACGCUAAUACCGCAUACGACCUCCGGGUGAAAGCAGGGGAUCUUCGGACCUUGCGCGAUUGAAUGAGCCGAUGUCGGAUGAGCUAGUUGGCGGGGUAAAGGCCCACCAAGGCGACGAUCCGUCGCGGGUCUGAGAGGAUGAUCAGCCACACUGGAACUGAGACACGGUACAGACUCCUACGGGAGGCAGCAGUGGGGAAUAUUGGACGAUGGGCGCGAGCCUGAUCCAGCCAUACCGCGUGGGUGAAGAAGGCCUUCGGGUUGUAAAGCCCUUUUGUUGGGAAAGAAAAGCAGCAGGUUAAUACCCCGCUGUUCUGACGGUACCCAAAGAAUAAGCACCGGCUAACUUCGUG
rnacentral:rRNA from 1 species